ACUAUUUUGGCAGAAUAAGUGUAUUGAUUUUAGAAAUCAUAAAUAUAUAAUAAAAUUAUAUAAGUAGUA
rnacentral:tRNA from 1 species